CCUACGGGAGGCUGCAGUGAGGAAUAUUGGUCAAUGGGCGGAAGCCUGAACCAGCCAAGUAGCGUGCGGGAUGACUGCCCUACGGGUUGUAAACCGCUUUUGCACGGGGAUAACACGUUCCACGUGUGGAAGUCUGUAGGUACCAUACGAAUAAGGGUCGGCUAAAUCCGUGCCAGCAGCCGCGGUAAUACGGAAGGUCCGAGCGUUAUCCGGAUUUAUUGGGGUUAAAGGGAGCGUAGGCGGGUCGUUAAGUCAGUUGGAAAAUUUGCCGGCUCAACCGUAACACUGCAGUUGAACUUGGAAGCCUUGAGUACACAACAGGCAGGCGGAAGUCGUGGUGUAGCGGUGAAAUGCAUAGAUAUCACGAGGAACCCCGAUUGCGAAGGCAGCCUACCGGAGUGCGACUGACGCUGAGGCUCGAAGGUGCGGGUAUCAAACAGGAUUAGAUACCCGUGUAGUC
rnacentral:rRNA from 1 species